UACGUAGGGUGCAAGCGUUAAUCGGAAUUACUGGGCGUAAAGCGUGCGCAGGCGGUUUUGUAAGUCUGACGUGAAAUCCCCGGGCUCAACCUGGGAAUUGCGUUGGAGACUGCAAGGCUAGAAUCUGGCAGAGGGGGGGUAGAAUUCCACGUGUAGCAGUGAAAUGCGUAGAUAUGUGGAGGAACACCGAUGGCGAAGGCAGCCCCCUGGGUCAAGAUUGACGCUCAUGCAC
rnacentral:rRNA from 1 species